rnacentral:rRNA from 1 species
AGUGAACGCUGGCGGUAGGCCUAACACAUGCAAGUCGAACGGCAGCACAGUAAGAGCUUGCUCUUACGGGUGGCGAGUGGCGGACGGGUGAGGAAUACAUCGGAAUCUACUUUUUCGUGGGGGAUAACGUAGGGAAACAUACGCUAAUACCGCAUACGACCUACGGGUGAAAGCAGGGGAUCUUCGGACCUUGCGCGAUUGAAUGAGCCGAUGUCGGAUUAGCUAGUUGGCGGGGUAAAGGCCCACCAAGGCGACGAUCCGUAGCUGGUCUGAGAGGAUGAUCAGCGACACUGGAACUGAGACACGGUCCAGACUCCUACGGGAGGCAGCAGUGGGGAAUAUUGGACAAUGGGCGCAAGCCUGAUCCAGCCAUACCGCGUGGGUGAAGAAGGCCUUCGGGUUGUAAAGCCCUUUUGUUGGGAAAGAAAAGCAGCAGGUUAAUACCCCGCUGUUCUGACGGUACCCAAAGAAUAAGCACCGGCUAACUUCGUG